rnacentral:rRNA from 1 species
GACGAACGCUGGCGGCGUGCUUAACACAUGCAAGUCGAGCGGAGCGGCGAACGGGUGAGUAACGCGUGAGUAACUGCCCCCCUCCCUGGGAUAACAGUUGGAAACGGCUGCUAAUACCGGAUAGUGGGGGAUGACUCGGGUCCUAUCGGCUUGUGGGUGGGGUAGUGGCCUACCAAUGCGACGACGGGUAGCCGGCCUGAGAGGGCGACCGGCCACAUUGGGCUGGGAUACGGCCCAAACUCCUACGGUAGGCAGCAGUGGGGAAUAUUGCACAAUGGGGGAAAACCUGAUGCAGCAACGUGGCGUGCGGGAUGACGUCCUUCGGGUUGUAUACCGCUUUCAGCCAUUACUCGGUAGUGGCAGAAGAAGCACCGGCUAACUACGUGCCAGCAGCCGCGGUAAUAC